AAGUCGUAACAAGGUUUCCGUAGGUGAACCUGCGGAAGGAUCAUUAAGGAAUUGUGUAUUGCCCUUGGUAUGUUUGCAAACAUACAAGGGCGUACCACACUUUCUGUGUCUACUUUUCACCCACCCUUAAUAUCAAGUCAUUAGAACAUUAUAAAGCUUAACCAACUUUUAACAAUGGAUCUCUUGGCUCUC
rnacentral:misc_RNA from 1 species